AUGUUAUCAUCUUCUUCAAUCUUCAAAAACCUCUUCUCCACAACUGAUUAUUUCAACUGGCCUCAAGCUCUGGACUGCAUCAGCAACAUCAACGUGACCACAUUCAAUCUUCAUUGUUUCUGCAACAGCAUACGCAUCACUGCAACACGUCAAUUAUCUCUAACUUCUUCGUAUUUGCAAUAA